rnacentral:tRNA from 1 species
GCCGGGAUAGCCUAGGAAGCCUGGUAUGGCGCAGGCCUGGAGAGCCUGUGAUUCAACCGGAUCGCGUGGGUUCGAAUCCCUCUCCCGGCGCCA